UCUGCUCAGAACGAACGCUGGCGGCAGGCCUAACACAUGCAAGUCGAGCGCACCUUCGGGUGAGCGGCGGACGGGUUAGUAACGCGUGGGAACGUACCCUUUUCUACGGAAUAGCCAUUGGAAACGAUGAGUAAUACCGUAUACGCCCUUCGGGGGAAAGAUUUAUCGGAGAAGGAUCGGCCCGCGUUAGAUUAGAUAGUUGGUGGGGUAAUGGCCUACCAAGUCUACGAUCUAUAGCUGGUUUUAGAGGAUGAUCAGCAACACUGGGACUGAGACACGGCCCAGACUCCUACGGGAGGCAGCAGUGGGGAAUCUUAGACAAUGGGCGCAAGCCUGAUCUAGCCAUGCCGCGUGAGUGAUGAAGGCCUUAGGGUCGUAAAGCUCUUUCGCCAGGGAUGAUAAUGACAGUACCUGGUAAAGAAACCCCGGCUAACUCCGUGCCAGCAGCCGCGGUAAUACGGAGGGGGUUAGCGUUGUUCGGAAUUACUGGGCGUAAAGCGUACGUAGGCGGAUUAGAAAGUUAGGGGUGAAAUCCCAGGGCUCAACCCUGGAACUGCCUCUAAAACUACUAGUCUAGAGUUCGAGAGAGGUGAGUGGAACUCCGAGUGUAGAGGUGAAAUUCGUAGAUAUUCGGAAGAACACCAGUGGCGAAGGCGGCUCACUGGCUCGAUACUGACGCUGAGGUACGAAAGUGUGGGGAGCAAACAGGAUUAGAUACCCUGGUAGUCCACACCGUAAACGAUGAAUGCCAGUCGUCGGGUAGUAUACUAUUCGGUGACACACCUAACGGAUUAAAGC
rnacentral:rRNA from 1 species